AUGACCGAUGCUCUCCCCAGUUUGUUAAUGGCGUGCAAACUUUUCGGGAAGGUCCCUUUGUUUCGGUGCAAAUGGGUCAACAUGACACGAGGCGGGGUAAUAGAAGACCUGCAGUACGGAAUGACAAUAGUGGAUCUCAACAAUCUUGCAUACGUAGAUGAACAAUUCGUCCUAGCCAAUGAUGUGGCGCAGGUUUUCUAUGUGAAGGACAUGUCUACCAAGCCAAGAAAAAGAAAAGAUAAGGAAGCGAGUACAUCAUAUGAUGAGCCAAAUCACCACAUAGUUCUUUCAGGGAAAAGAAACAUCGUGGGAGUGGAUGACAAGACAGACAUGUCAGAAGAUUAUGAAAAGUUUGAUGAAAUUGCUCCCUUCAUAGUGAAUAUUGACCCGAGCAUCCAGUUAAAUGAUGAAGAUUGUCCAUGGUUACGGCGCAAAGGGACACAUGCGAAGAAAAAGUUUCACACCCAAAGGCAGUAG
rnacentral:rRNA from 1 species